AUACUCUGGUUUCUUUUCAGAACAUAUAACUCUUUCGCCUUUUAUUAAAGAUUUCUGUGGAGAAAAGCAAUUCUGAGUUUUUAAUCCAACUUUUUGAGGCCCUGCACUUGCAAGGCU
ensembl:snRNA U5 U5 spliceosomal RNA